GAUGAACGCUGACAGAAUGCUUAACACAUGCAAGUCGAUGGGGAAGUGGUGCUUGCACCAUGGCAACCAUGGCGGACGGGUGAGUAACGCGUAAGGGACUUACCUGCAGGACUGGGAUAACAGGGGGAAACUCCUGACAAGACCGGAUAAUGUCAUGGAGCUGCAUGGCUUUAUGAUGAAAGGAGACGCCUGCGGAGAGCCUUGCGUCCUAUUAGCUAGUUGGUGAGGUAAUGGCUCACCAAGGCGAAGAUAGGUAGCCGGCCUGAGAGGGUGGACGGCCACAAGGGGACUGAGAUACGGCCCUUACGCCUACGGGAGGCAGCAGUGGGGAAUAUUGGACAAUGGGGGCAACCCUGAUCCAGCAAUUCUGUGUGCACGAAGAAGGUUCUCGGAUUGUAAAGUGCUUUCAGCAGGGAAGAAGUAAGUGACGGUACCUGCAGAAGAAGCGACGGCUAAAUACGUG
rnacentral:rRNA from 1 species